AUGUGAUUAUACGUCAUGCACUUCAUAUAGGGAUUGAAGCCGUGCAGUACGCCGGGGCCCCGCAGCGGAGAGCGGCCCGCGCGCCGAGGGAGCUGCUGCGGAGGAGCCGCCGGGGCACGCGCCCCGCGAGCUGCGGGGAGGCUGUCUGGAGCAGCGCGCUGGUCCCUGCGGACAGGCAGCUCUCCGGAGUGGUUGUCCCGCGUCCGCGCCGGAGAGGGCCGCGCGGAGCCGGAGCGGCGGCCGAGCGUGGGCCUCGUCACGCGAAGCUCCUCAGGGUUCCUCAGGAGGCCUCAGCCGCUCUCUAAAGGUAAAAAGGGCAGGGACUGCUCCAAACCCAGUGCAGGGACGUCCCCCAGGGUCUCAGCAAGGACGUCAUCGCGUAUUUGAGUCACUCCUGACGGGCUGUGACAAGCCGGGGCAAAGCCGUCCGUGGCAGGUAAGUGAUGCUUGGGUGCAAGCACCAUCUAACGAAUCCUUGCAAAACCUGCCCAAAUUUCCACCGGCUGACGCCCGGCAUCUCCUGCUGUCAGCAAAAGGCGUGCGAGCUGGAGGGAGCUGACCUGAGUGUGGACCGUGACACGCAGUUGCGUGCUGAGCCUCACCCGGGGGAGGACCUGGCGCUGGGUUAGCGAGGGGUGCGCAGCCUCCCCGGAGCUGCCUCCCGCAGGAGCGCCUUCCCUCCCUGCGUGGAAGGUGCACGUGGUUCGUCAAAGCAAUUAGGCAGCAAUGAAGCUUGGAUCCAGCCAAGUAGAAGCAUCAGAAAAGUAUUCCUGUAACCUGGGCGUCCUUGGCCAACAUCCCCCCGUCCUGUUAUCUCCUCAUUAGGAAAGAAGGGACAAGAACAAAACCACGUGUGGAGGCCAAGUGAAUGUAGAUGUGAAACACGCUUCAAACAGCUCCAUCCUUUCAACAGACCUUUUAUCAGCCUUCGCUCCCCACAACACAAACUCCUUUUAAUCAUCAGUGCAAAGCCACUGUUUAGAAAGCAAGGACACUGCUCAGGGUACGCCUGGUAUUAACAGCGCAGGCAUUUCCCCGGAGGAGCCAGCAAACGCCCGCCCAAGGUCUUCUGAACACGGCUGCCACGCGGCACCAGCGGCAGCCCCGACGGCUAAUGCGGCACUCGGCAGUUUUGCGAGGCGGCAGGCGCUGCGGAGGUGGACCCGGACACCAGGCACGGGUCCUCCCAGGGUGAUGCUGCUCCUGGCCGGUUUCCCCAGGGAGCCAGGUCCCGAGCUCACACCUCCCGGCGCAGCGUUCCCACCCCAAACUGGGAGCUGGGAGAGGGCAGCAGCACGGGGGUGGCAGCAGGAAGCCUGGGACUGUGACCUCCCCUGUGCCCAGUGAACCCAGCGCCGAGCCAGAGCCGCUGCGGGUUGUCACAGGAGCAGCGUUAGCCAGGACAUGCGAACAACAUGCUGGGGCCAGGUUUAGGCAGCUAUCCUGGCCCCAGACCAGGCGUUUCGGCUGUCUCCUGGAGUCCUUCCCACGCGUCAGCGCAGGCACCUGCGCCUCGGCAGCGCUGGCAUGCCGGGCACGCGGCAAAAGCCAAGCAACUUGCUGGCGACCUCCGGAGAAAACGCAUGACACGAAGCGGCUUCUUCUGCGCCGCCGCAGCGGCACAGCGAGCUUCGCGGCACUCGGCAGGUCCCUCCCGGCAGCUCUCCGCACAGUUUGCCAGCGUGAGCAAGUCGAGGCACGUUGCAGAAGUUGUUCAGGCUCUGAGAGCAAGUGACGUGCUUGCUAGGUGCUGGCCUAAAAACCAAGCCGGAGGUGUUGCCUCCUCCUUGGAAAGCCACCCUCGGACCCACCCUCGAGCGCACGCAGCGCACCGCUCGGCGACACCGCUGCUCACGGCGUUGGCAGGGUGGUGCGUUUGUGUCACGAGCUCAGAUCGGUCCCACGGAGCAGUUCUGGCUGUCUGGAAACAGCCUGAGUCAGUCGUGUCCUGUUAAAUCAAGGCUGGAUUUCUCCAAAGAGCUCCAGCCCCGCUUAGGCUCCGUAACAAACAGGCAGAUUUUCAAAAGGAGCUGAAUGUGUUGGGUCACGCUGGCUGCGGAGCCCAAGUCCUUUGAAUAUGCAGCCAAAGCCGUUGCCGUGCGUGUUGCUACAGGCAGAGCCCUUCCGAAAGGCGGCCCCGCCGCCGGCUGCACGUCCCGGGAAACCUGGCUCGUCUCUGCUCUCCCGCGUCUGGCACUGCAGUAGGUGACGACACGGCAGUCGCUGCAGCGUCACGGGGGGGGUGGCUCGGUGACAAAGCGAGGCUCCCGCAGCGUUGCCCUUUGAUCAGCUCCGCAGCGCGGGUCAAGGGAGCGGGGCGGGGAGGCUUCCUCGCCUUUUGUUCCGCAGAAUUAGCAGAGGUAAUCGGAGUGACGGCGACUUCUGCCGCGGCGGGCGCGGAGGAGAGGUCAGUGGCUCGGGCUGGAUGCAGGCUUGUCCUCCAACCACUUGGGAAACACUGCCACGAGCGCCCGUUGCAUAGGUGCUGCUGGCACAGAGGCUCUCCCAACAGGGAUCAGCCAGGAAAAUGUCCCCACGGAGGCGAGGAGGCUGCAGAGGAGGAGAAGGGCUCCUAUUCAGACGGCUCUUUGCACCCUUGUGCCUGAGUCGCUCCCUCCUUCCCACGACGCGGGGAGGAUGUGCUGCCCUCCGGCACUCGCAUCCUGCAGCUGAGCUCACGUGCUGCUCUCGGCUAAAGUGCUCUGCAGCCGCGUUGCUGGGGCUGCGCGUGGCCGGGGGCACGCUGGUGUGGUCACCCCGCCGGCAGUCCCAGCCGCGUGGGCCUUGCCGCUGCUUUGGCAUCCUCUGGCCCCGUAACGCACCUCCGCGAACCUGCGAAGCCCCCGCGUGAGCUCCUCGGGAGCUGGGGUGGCUGGAGAUGCAGCGCCGCCACGGCCUUGCUUUCCCCACGCCUUUCAGCCCGAGCCGAAGCUGUCACAGCCGUGGUGGCUCUUAGCAGAGACGUGUUAAUGCGGCCUCCGUGUCCCUAAUGUGGUGCUCUGCUUACCUUUCUUUGAUCCCAAUUAGAAGAGUUUGACUGUUCCUCAUGCUUUUGCUGUGGACAUCCUCUCGUGUGUCUAAUUAGUGGAGUCCUUCUGUCAAAGGUAUUAGUACCUUCAACAGCUAGCCCUGAUUUAGGCAGUUUGCAUUUGUCUCCAGUGUUAAUGCCCUCGUUUACCCUUGGUCCUGGAUAUCUGUGGAAGGAGCUCUCAUGAUCUCUCCUUGGCUCUAAUUAAAAUAGCCUGGAUGUCCAUGACGUUGGUUCCCGUUAGGCCUGUCACCAGAAGGUGAUGUCCACGCUGGACCUGGCUGAAGAAGGUGUAGGAGUCGUUAUUGCUGAGGAACGCCUCCGCAUCGAGACCCUCCCGGCGCGCCUCCUCCACCAGCUCCGGGCCAGAGAAGGCCCCCGCCGCCGCCGUUGGCCCGUCCUGCCCGUCCGUCCCCCCGCUGAGGAAGACGAUCUCGCAGCUGCGCAGGGGGCUGCCGGCCUCCGCGGCCCGCGCUCUGUGCAGCCCCAGCCCCACUCGCAGAGCCAGCUCCUGGUUCCUCCCUCCCUUCCCGCUUCCUUGGAGCCGGACUGUGGUUUCUCCACCGGCCAGGAUGCAAACUGCUCUGUCAGGCCCUAAUCCUCGCAGGGCCUGCAGAGCCUCAGCAGGGUUCAAACCUGGGAUCUCCAGCUCUGCUGCCAGCUGCAGGAGCUUCGCCCUCGCCUCUUCGCUGAGAGGCCCGUCUCCGAGGCCGGCGAAGGCCAGGCAGACCAGCUGGAUCAGCUGGCAGUAGAGUGCGGACACGCGGCUGACUUCCCCGCAGAUUGCCGCGCUGAGGACCAGAGUCAUGUAGCCCAGGUCUUCUGCCUGGCGUUUGGCUUCAUCUAAAGCCAGGGCGUUUGACCCGAUGAUAACGUUGAAGACGUGGGAGUAGUCUUCCGGAGCGGUAGGGCUUGCAGGAGAGCUGGACAGCACUGCUUCCACCGACUUGGGCAGGCUGGUCAGCAGCUCGUAUUUGUCCAAUAUUCGAAGGCAGUCUUGGACGCUGUGGGAGCUGGCUGCGGUGGGCCCGCUUGCUAUAAUGUCCAGGGGGUCUCCAAUCACAUCGGAGAGGAUGAGGCUCACCACCUACCAAGAGAAAUGGCUGUGGAUCAAUGUGGGAGGCAGAGACAGGUGCCCAUGCAAGAGCACAGCCAUAAGCGCUGCUCGGAGUUACACCUGCAAAGCAGGUGUCAACGGGGGCAGAAUUUGGCCCACUUCGGUUUUAAGGUCCUGCACUUCUUGAACCUGCAGAAUUACAAUGUCAUUCAGUGCCAGACCAUCAAACUGGAAAAUGUAACCAGUGCCACAGCACUUGCCAAGCUGCCAACCUAGUGUGGGCUCAACCUGGGCGCCAGCGAUGGCGUUCGCUGCGGAUGCCCCCCAGGUGAGAUGAGGGGUCGGACCCGGCCGUGCAAGUACCGCAGGAGUCAGCGCAGCAGUGCACCAGCUGCUCCUAGGUCAGGUUGGGGUCUGCUGACGCUCACUACGUCUGAAUUCCCUCUUCCCCACCUCUUUCCCCCUGCGAUUUAGUGUCUUCCAGCCAGCGCUGCAGGAGCGUAGGCGUCUGUUCGUUUUGGACAGCAGCUCCAGUAGUUAGCACUGACCGUUCUGGCACUUAUGCUCUGUUAUAUUUUCUUUAGGCAUCUGGAGAGGUUACAUUUGUCUCAAAUUCUGUAAACCUCUGUGAAAUCUGAGUUACUUCUACAAAAUGACAAGAGAAUGAUGAGAAACCCAAACCCCGCUGCCCAGAAGAGCCCCCGUGGGCAUUGCUAACCAUGCUCCACCCCAAACACCCAGCAUGGCACGGUGCUUGUGAGCCUGGUGGCAUAAAACCACCUGGCCAGUUUUCUCUUCUUGGGUCAGCCUUGCUGAAACUUCUUGCAAGUGCAGGUGAACCCUCUUUCUCCCUUUUGCGUGACUUCCCUGGCUUUGAACAAAAUGCUCCAAACCUUUGCAGUCCCUUCUGGGUGAGCGCGGGUUUCUGCCUGGGGAGACACCCUGCGCGUUACCUGUGCGGGGUACGCGAGCCGGGCCAGCCCUCCGCCCUUCAGCAAGGACAGGGCCUUGCGGACCGUGUUCAGCUCCUGUAUGGCAGCUCCUCUGGAAGCCAGCAUCUUCGUGAGCUUCUCCUUCUCCUCGAGUUGGACCGGCGGGGUAGGAGCGGGCAGCAGGGCCGAGCCACCUCCUAGGAGGCAGAAGAGAGGGCAGGGCCUGAGCGUGCUUUGCAGCAGGGCGGGGGGAAACCUGGGCUCUCCGGGGCCAGCUGACCCCUGAGCAGGGGCACCCGUUCCUCUCUGCUCAGCCGUCUGCGGAGGAAACGCGGAGGUGUCGGGGAGCUGCCUUAACAUCUCUGCAAAAUGAUUUCUUCCCCAACAGGCCUGAGUCGCCGCUGCCCCGUGCUGUCUGCAGCCAGCUAAAACCUCCCAGCACAGGGUCAUGCGCGCCUGCGAUGCCGGUGAGGCCGCAGGUCCGGCAGGUACCGUGCCCCCCACGUCGGGCUGCUGCCGUGCCCCCGGGCUGCCGAGCGGGGCCGCGGGCUCGGUGACUCACACAGCCGGCGGCUCGAGCAGAUGGCGACGCUGCCUGCUUUGCUGGCUCCGUUGGGUCAGGGCAGCGCAGAAAAGCACCAGCUACGGCUGCAGCAAGACGGGGACCUGCGGAGCUGCACCGAUCGAGGCCGGCGAGGAAGGAAAGGGGGAGAGAGGAGCACAGCAGAUAAAGUGCCCCCAGAUGCCGGGGUGAUGGCCUCAUCACAGGGAAUGCUGUCGGGCGACCUGGUACAAUUGGGCAUCGGAAAGCCAAAAGGAGGCAAAAAAGAGGUUAGAAGGGAAAAGCGAAAUGGAGGGAAAUAUAGAUUAGGCGUGAGCGCUGAGCAGAGGGUGCAGGCGUGCGAAAGUACAGCUGAAACCUGCCAUGAAAGGGCAAAGGCUGCUCAGCGCUUUGAGGCAAACCAGCAUCAAUAAAACAUGAUGAGCAAGAAAAAGAAAAAA